rnacentral:pre_miRNA from 1 species
AUAUUACUCCCUCCGUUCGGAAUUACUUGUUGCAGAAAUGGAUGUAUCUAGACGUAUUUUAGUUCUAGAUACAUCCAUUUCCGAGACAAGUAAUUCCGAACGGAGGGAGUAGUUG